UGACGUACUGAAUAGAGUACAAUAGCGUAAAAAAUAAUUAACAUAAUAAUAUUAAAAGGAUGUUUAGAAGGACUUCUUUCAAAAAGUACCACUGUGGCUACUAUUAUUAAUACUACAAAGUUAAUACAUAUGAGUAGCCGCAACUUCCUUUGAAGUAGGUAAAUUUUAUUCAUCGAGGUUUUUCUUUCCGAUUGAUCAAGUUGUCUCCCACUCCCAGCAGAUUAUCACCUGUACAUAUUGCUGAUGGAGGUGUCCAUAUUUAAAUAAAUCCAGGAGUGUGUGAUAACACCUGUAAUUUGGAGAAAUUCCAGCAUUAUGUUUUGUCUCCUUGAUCCUUGAACCUAAUCUGCUUUUCUUCGAGUGGUACUAUGAUACAAUAACAACAUUUGUCAUCUUCAUCUUGAUUCAUAGAAUCAGUUGCAUUGAAAUGGAUCAGGCAACAUUUGAAGGAAACCAAGAAGGUGAUAGCUCUUGUAACAUGCAAGAACUCCAGCAACAUUGUUGCAAUGUUUUCCCACCAGACAGUCAACUGUCUGGACAUCACACUACAGUACAAGCCUUUGAUAGCCGUGAUAUCCACGUUGGUCCAAAGAUAUAUAUAUCAGUGCAUAAUCCAGUAAGUUACUUUAGUUAAAAUUAUAACAUCAUUUAUCUAAGAUUAAUUGUGGUUGAAAAUGUUAUUAAAAUAUUUUAGUCAGAAGACACAUUCAGCAUAAAAAGUACACUGCACUUGAUAAUUAGAAUGCAGAUUUCAUCUGUAAGUUAAAGAUACAGUGAAUAGUAAUAGUAUCUUAUAGAAAACGUAAAACAGAAAUUUUCAGGUAACUUAUAUCACUUGUAGGAUGUCAAGUCAACAAAUCUUUUUGUUUUGUAUUAUUAAUUUUUAUUUUGAAGUUUCAUUUUUUUUCAGCCUAAUUUGAUAUUUAUGUGCAUGCAAAGGAACACUUCAAAGCAGGUAGACUUACCUCUGAAAUAAUGAAAUUCCUUUCUUGUUGAAUUGGAACUCACUCUGUCAACAAAAUGUGUCUACUUUCCCACUAUAAUUUAGAUUUUUUUUGUUGACAGUCAUUUUGUUACACUUGCUAUGCCAUACAUUCUAAUGCAACUUUUUCUGCCACUAUCCAAACUUCAUUGGAAGUUUAAUUAUAGUUUGCCUGUAGAGUGCAAGAUAAACUUGUAGCCUUAUUAUCAGACCUGAUUCUUCAAUGUAUUGUAACGAAUUUGUCCUUAUGUAUUUAUUUUAAUAUAAACGUUGUUUAGAUUAAACUUGUAUUUAAAAAUAUGCAUAGCUUACAGUGUUAGAUAUGUAUUUGUUAUAUAUUUAUUCUAAUGUCAAUGUUUUGUCUGAAUUGAGUUUAUAUUUAAAAACGUAUCUAGCUUACAGUGUUAGUUACAUACUGCGAGACUCCUGCCAAUUCUACAAGGUUGUAGAAUAUUCGUGAAUGUAAGAAUUGACAAUAUACUCACUUCCGUAACCGGUUAAAUAUAGCUCAGUAUUGUUGUCAGAAGUUUUGAGAAAAUCUUUCCCGUGCCUAUAAAAACAGCCAACGUGACGCGCCAAAAAGAGGGAGUUUAAAAAGUUGGCUAGGAACCUGCUAUAACCGUGUGCUAUUAGUCUAUAAACAGUGAUUUUGCUUACCCUUAUCAACCAGAAAAUUUACUACAUUUGACCAGGAACAGUUAUAAAUUUCGAACAUCAAUGGAUUCUCAUCGGACGUUAGUAUCUUUCUGAAACUAUUACUGGAUUCUCAUCGGAUAUUAGUGGUUUUAUG